CCCACUCUCACUGAAUUUUCCCUUACAAAAGCACUCCAUCCAGAAGUAAAAUUACCUUUGCCAAUCUGUGGAUAAAAAUUCAGCUUCACAAGCCAACAUCUAUUUUCAACCUGCAACUUUACUUUCUCUGUGCUUUGCUUGAUGUUGCUGAUAAACUUCUGUGGUACAUGCAUGUUGUGAUUCUCCAUAUGGCCAGGUGAAAUAACCGAUUUGAAAAAUGGAUGCACUGAGGUGAAACUUUUGGCAGCUUCAAUAGCUCCAGGAGAAUACCUUUCUUCAUCUUUGAGUUCAUGCUUGUUACCUUUGUUGCGUCGAAAAAUGGUAACUUUAAAUGUAGCUUUGGAUCCCGUAAUCAUAAUCAGUUCAAAGGCACAAACAUCACCAACUUCCAAGUGAUUGUCUAUUGCAAAGGCCCUCCAACCCUGAGUAAUUUUUGGCAAUGUUUUUCCAUUUUUUGCUUUAUUACAUAUAUAAAAUUUAACAGGCCAAGUUCUCCCAUCCAAACCAUUCAGCGUGGCUUCACCACUAUGCUUCAUGGGGAAAUACUUCACGGAAAAGCUUGCUGGUAUAGUCAUUUUUUCCCCUGGAUGAACAUAUGAUGGUUGCAUUGCAAUCAGGAAAAAGGGAUUCUCGGAUUUGAAGUUAGUGCUAGCUCUACGAAGAGCUUCAGUUUUUUCCUUAGCUCUCAAUCGUCUUUUCCUCCCAAUAAUCCUACCUGGUGUUUGUUUCUGAGCAGAAAUGCCUCCAAAGACUCUAUUUCCUUCAUCUUGCCUUUCAGGACAAUGCAAACUUCUGUUUCCUGUAGGAUUCUCAACCUUCGUCAUCUUUUGAGGAAGGGGGAAUGACAAUGGUGGUUUCUCUUCUCUUUUUCGCCAUGGCAAGUCAUCCAAGAUUUCAACAGAUGCAUCAUUUUC
rnacentral:misc_RNA from 1 species